AGAACGAACGCUGGCGGCAUGCCUAACACAUGCAAGUCGAACGCUUCCGGGGCUUCGGUCGCGGAGGAGUGGCGCACGGGUGAGUAGCGCGUGGGAACCUGCCCUGUUGUGGGGGAUAACCGAGGGAAACUUCGGCUAAUACCGCAUACGCCCCGGGACUUGGUCUUCGGAUUAGGUCUGGGGGGAAAGAUUGAUCGCAGCAGGAGGGGCCCGCGUCGGAUUAGCUGGUUGGUGGGGUAACGGCUCACCAAGGCGAUGAUCCGUAGCUGGUCUGAGAGGAUGAUCAGCCACACUGGGACUGAGACACGGCCCAGACUCCUACGGGAGGCAGCAGUGGGGAAUAUUGGACAAUGGGGGCAACCCUGAUCCAGCAAUGCCGCGUGAGUGAUGAAGGCCUUAGGGUUGUAAAGCUCUUUCGCCGCGACGACGAUGACGGUAGCGGGAGAAGAAGCCCGGCUAACUUCGUGCCAGCAGCCGC
rnacentral:rRNA from 1 species